rnacentral:ncRNA from 1 species
UAAGAAGCUAUGAACGGGAAUAGUAGAGUGUCGUGGGGCUUUUAGAAAGCGAAUGGGAGCUGCAAAUUCGUAACCACAUGCCUUGAACUCGCCUGUGAGUGUCUGGUUGAAUCGAGUAGAUUAGAACGUCAGUCGCGUUAAGACCAAAGUGUCGUGUGUUCGCACGAAAUGUAGGUGGUACCACGGUAAUUCGCCCUACAG